UACGUAGGGGGCAAGCGUUGUCCGGAAUCAUUGGGCGUAAAGCGAGUGUAGGCGGUCCGAUAAGUCGGGUGUGAAAGCCCUGGGCUCAACCCAGGAAGUGCACUCGAAACUGUCGGGCUAGAGUAUCGGAGAGGUUGGUGGAAUUCUCGGUGUAGAGGUGAAAUUCGUAGAUAUCGAGAGGAACACCGGUGGCGAAGGCGGCCAACUGGACGAAUACUGACGCUGAGACUCGAAAGCGUGGGGAGCAAACAGG
rnacentral:rRNA from 1 species